GCGGAACUGGCGGAAUUGGUAGACGCGCUAGGUUCAGGUCCUAGUGUUAGCAAUAAUGUCCGGGUUCAAGUCCCGGGUUCCGCA
rfam:Phormidium tenue NIES-30 NIES-30_Scaffold_3, whole genome shotgun sequence.